AUGGCGGCGUCUCCGGCGAGCGGCGGCGCGCGCUCGUGCGAGACGGCGGAGCAGACCCGCGAGUGGAUGGAGGCCAUCGCCUCCUUCCUCGGCCGCCACCGCCCGCUCCUCGAGGCCCACGUCGUCAACUUCUUCAAGGAUAGGCUGUGGGAGAUGGUGGACGCCGACUGGAUGGAGUGCCUCCGCCGGGAGCCCGUCGAGAGCCUGCUCAUGUUGCCCUCCGGCUGCGUCCAGGACCAUUGGCCAAGUUCACUUCAGGAAUUUAUACUCACUGCGAGGUCGCUUGUUCUUCCACGUGAGCAAAAAUCGCCAAAAUCGUUUUUACCUAAUUCGCGCGUCGCAUCAAUUGGUACUGUUCUUGCUCAAGGCAUGAACUCGAAGAAGAAGCAUGAAAUUGAAGCCCUAUCUGGGAUGGUUGACGCAAUUGCUAGGAGUCGUGGAGCCAAGACAGUGGUUGAUGUAGGUUCUGGUCAGGGUUAUCUUGCACAAGCUUUAUCCUUUGAGUACCAACUCGCUGUUAUAGCAAUAGAUGCUUCAUCACAUCAUGCAUCUGUUACAAAUACUCGUGCAGAGAGGAUAAAGAAGCACUAUGCUGCUAAAUGUGUAGAGAAGCAACAGUUCAAAGUGCCAAGAACUGUCACUUGUCAUGUUCUUUCUAGUGACACACUGGCAGCUGUGGUGUUGGAUGCAUGUCAAGAUAAUCAUGGUGAACAUGUAACAGAAAGUAAUAACUGUAAUCAGAGUAGUCCUCAGAUUGGGCAACCAAAUCAUAGCAUUCCUCAAUUAGUCCUUGCUGGUCUCCAUGCCUGUGGUGAUCUUUCAGUUAACAUGCUAAGGGUUUUCGUGUCCUGUGAACAAGUACAAGCAUUGGUAAGCGUAGGAUGCUGUUACAACUUGUUGUCCGAGGAUUGUCAUGAGGAUACAGACACAUCCCCUGGUUUUCCUAUCAGCAACGCUGCCAAAUCAUCGAAACUGGUGCUUGGCAAAAGCAUUCGCGACCUUGCUUGCCAGAGCGCAGAGAGAUGGAGAAGCCUCACCAAGGAAAUGGCCCUACAAAAUUUUGAUAUACAUGCCUUCCGAGCAGCUUUUCAAAUGGUACUUGAGAAAUAUUUCCCUGAACUGUCAAGAUUGAGCCCAUCAAUUGGAAGGCAAGGAAAAGCUCUGCGCCGUCAAAGGCUUCGAAAAGAAAUGGAAUCCCAUUUGGCUAUGGGGAAAGCUGAUGAUUUAUCCUAUCCUAACUCCAAGGAACAAAACAUGAAUACAGAUGGUUCAUUGCCCACAGAACCAAUUGCUCCUAAAGGGGCUGUUCAAUGUUGCAGCAACGAACUUUGUACAGGUGAUACUUACUCAACUUCAGCAGUUGUUGGUUCAUCCAUAUCAAGAGUUAACGUGGGACCAAGUGACACCAAUCAUGAUGAAUGUUGCAAGUUCACACUUUUCAAAGAUUUCACAAUCUCUGGAUUAGGGCGUCUUGGCUGUGGUUGUGUGGAAGAUGUUAAUCUACUCGAAAUAUGGAAGGAUGUGCAACACUUCACCGAGUUCAUAGGUCCCUUUUGGUGCCUCCGGGCUGCUUUAGGUCCACUGGUGGAAACAUAUGUUUUACUUGAUCGGUUACUGUUUCUUCAAGAGCAAGGAAGUGCAGUUGAAGCAUCAUUGUUCCCUCUGUUUGAUCCUGCCAUGUCUCCAAGGAAUAUGGCACUAGUUGCUUGGAAGUUAACGGAAGAUCCUUUAGAACCAAGUCAUGAUAUGGGAAUGUACAAGAGAUUGCCCUCGAGCAGCGUGCCUUUAUCCAAUAAAUACUAG
rnacentral:rRNA from 1 species